rnacentral:rRNA from 1 species
AGAACUUAGCAGAGAUGCUUUGGUGCCUUCGGGGAACUCUGAGACAGGUGCUGCAUGGCUGUCGUCAGCUCGUGUUGUGAAAUGUUGGGUUAAGUCCCGCAACGAGCGCAGCCCUUAUCCUUUGUUGCCAGCGGUUAGGCCGGGAACUCAAAGGAGACUGCCAGUGAUAAACUGGAGGAAGGUGGGGAUGACGUCAAGUCAUCAUGGCCCUUACGAGUAGGGCUACACACGUGCUACAAUGGCGCAUACAAAGAGAAGCGACCUCGCGAGAGCAAGCGGACCUCAUAAAGUGCGUCGUAGUCCGGAUUGGAGUCUGCAACUCGACUCCAUGAAGUCGGAAUCGCUAGUAAUCGUGGAUCAGAAUGCCACGGUGAAUACGUUCCCGGGCCUUGUACACACCGCCCGUCACACCAUGGGAGUGGGUUGCAAAAGAAGUAGGUAGCUUAACCUUCGGGAGGGCGCUUACCACUUUGUGAUUCAUGACUGGGGUGAAGUCGUAACAAGGUAAGCGUAGUGCU